CCUACGGGUGGCAGCAGUGAGGAAUAUUGGUCAAUGGGCGCGAGCCUGAACCAGCCAAGUCGCGUGAAGGAUGACUGCCCUACGGGUUGUAAACUUCUUUUAUCAAGGAAUAAAGUGAGGCACGUGUGCCUUUUUGUAUGUACUUUAUGCAUAAGGCUCGGCUAACUCCGUUCCCGCCGCCGCGGUAAUACGGAGGAUCCGAGCGUUAUCCGGAUUUAUUGGGUUUAAAGGGAGCGUAGAUGGGUUGUUAAGUCAGUUGUGAAAGUUUGCGGCUCAACCGUAAAAGUGCAAUUGAGACUGGCAGUCUUGAGUACAGUUGAGGUAGGCGGAAUUCGUGGUGUAGCGGUGAAAUGCUUAGAUAUCACGAAGAACUCCGAUUGCGAAGGCAGCUUACUAAACUGCCACUGACAUUGAUGCUCGAAAGUGUGGGUAGCAAACAGGAUUAGAUACCCCUGUAGUC
rnacentral:rRNA from 1 species